rnacentral:rRNA from 1 species
AGAGUUUGAUCAUGGCUCAGAGCGAACGCUGGCGGCAGGCUUAACACAUGCAAGUCGAGCGGGCGUAGCAAUACGUCAGCGGCAGACGGGUGAGUAACGCGUGGGAACAUACCUUUUGGUUCGGAACAACCCAGGGAAACUUGGGCUAAUACCGGAUAAGCCCUUACGGGGAAAGAUUUAUCGCCGAAAGAUUGGCCCGCGUCUGAUUAGCUAGUUGGUGAGGUAACGGCUCACCAAGGCGACGGUCAGUAGCUGGUCUGAGAGGAUGAUCAGCCACAUUGGGACUGAGACACGGCCCAAACUCCUACGGGAGGCAGCAGUGGGGAAUAUUGGACAAUGGGGGCAACCCUGAUCCAGCCAUGCCGCGUGAGUGAUGAAGGCCCUAGGGUUGUAAAGCUCUUUUGUGCGGGAAGAUAAUGACGGUACCGCAAGAAUAAGCCCCGGCUAACUUCGUGCCAGCAGCCGCGGUAAUACGAAGGGGGCUAGCGUUGCUCGGAAUCACUGGGCGUAAAGGGUGCGUAGGCGGGUCUUUAAGUCAGGGGUGAAAUCCUGGAGCUCAACUCCAGAACUGCCUUUGAUACUGAGGAUCUUGAGUCCGGGAGAGGUGAGUGGAACUGCGAGUGUAGAGGUGAAAUUCGUAGAUAUUCGCAAGAACACCAGUGGCGAAGGCGGCUCACUGGCCCGGUACUGACGCUGAGGCACGAAAGCGUGGGGAGCAAACAGGAUUAGAUACCCUAGUAGUCC